rnacentral:rRNA from 1 species
UGAACGCUGGCGGCAGGCCUAACACAUGCAAGUCGAGCGGUAGAGAGAAGCUUGCUUCUCUUGAGAGCGGCGGACGGGUGAGUAAUGCCUAGGAAUCUGCCUGGUAGUGGGGGAUAACGUUCGGAAACGGACGCUAAUACCGCAUACGUCCUACGGGAGAAAGCAGGGGACCUUCGGGCCUUGCGCUAUCAGAUGAGCCUAGGUCGGAUUAGCUAGUUGGUGAGGUAAUGGCUCACCAAGGCGACGAUCCGUAACUGGUCUGAGAGGAUGAUCAGUCACACUGGAACUGAGACACGGUCCAGACUCCUACGGGAGGCAGCAGUGGGGAAUAUUGGACAAUGGGCGAAAGCCUGAUCCAGCCAUGCCGCGUGUGUGAAGAAGGUCUUCGGAUUGUAAAGCACUUUAAGUUGGGAGGAAGGGUUGUAGAUUAAUACUCUGCAAUUUUGACGUUACCGACAGAAUAAGCACCGGCUAACUCUGUGCCAGCAGCCGCGGUAAUACAGAGGGUGCAAGCGUUAAUCGGAAUUACUGGGCGUAAAGCGCGCGUAGGUGGUUUGUUAAGUUGGAUGUGAAAUCCCCGGGCUCAACCUGGGAACUGCAUUCAAAACUGACUGACUAGAGUAUGGUAGAGGGUGGUGGAAUUUCCUGUGUAGCGGUGAAAUGCGUAGAUAUAGGAAGGAACACCAGUGGCGAAGGCGACCACCUGGACUAAUACUGACACUGAGGUGCGAAAGCGUGGGGAGCAAAC